rnacentral:rRNA from 1 species
CCUACGGGGGGCAGCAGUGGGGAAUAUUGGACAAUGGGCGAAAGCCUGAUCCAGCCAUGCCGCGUGUGUGAAGAAGGCCUUCGGGUUGUAAAGCACUUUCAGUGGGGAAGAAAGCCUUGGGGCUAAUACCCUCGAGGAAGGACAUCACCCACAGAAGAAGCACCGGCUAACUCCGUACCAGCAGCCGCGGUAAUACGGAGGGUGCGAGCGUUAAUCGGAAUUACUGGGCGUAAAGCGCGCGUAGGCGGUCUGAUAAGCCGGUUGUGAAAGCCCCGGGCUCAACCUGGGAACGGCAUCCGGAACUGUCAGGCUAGAGUGCAGGAGAGGAAGGUAGAAUUCCCGGUGUAGCAGUGAAAUGCGUAGAGAUCGGGAGGAAUACCAGUGGCGAAGGCGGCCUUCUGGACUGACACUGACGCUGAGGUGCGAAAGCGUGGGUAGCAAACGGGAUUAGAUACCCGGGUAGUC